CCUACGGGAGGCAGCAGUGGGGAAUAUUGCGCAAUGGGCGAAAGCCUGACGCAGCGACGCCGCGUGAGGGAUGAAGGUCUUCGGAUCGUAAACCUCCGUCAGCAGGGAAGAACGGUCACUGUGCUAAUCAGCAGUGAAUUGACGGUACCUGCAAAGGAAGCACCGGCUAACUCCGUGCCAGCAGCUGCGGUAAUACGGAGGGUGCGAGCGUUGAUCGGAAUUAUUGGGCGUAAAGCGCUCGUAGGCGGUAUGUCAAGUGAAGGGUGAAAUCCCCGGGCUCAACGUGGGAACUGCGUUUGAAACUGGCAAACUGGAGUGUGUGAGAGGAUAGUGGAAGUCGAGGUGUAGGAGUGAAAUCCGUAGAUAUCUGGAGGAACAUCAGUGGCGAAGGCGACUAUCUGGCACAUAACUGACGCUGAGGAGCGAAAGCGUGGGUAGCAAACAGGAUUAGAUACCCCGGUAGUC
rnacentral:rRNA from 1 species